UAAGCAUCGCGCUGGCGAGUCGCGCUUCUUCUCGUUAGGAGAGUUUCGGUUUCUUUUUUGGUUAUAGAUGGACCGAUUAAGGCUGCCCUACAUACCUCUUGGAGAGGAUCAAGCCAUUCGUAGUUCUUUUCUCCGAGUGAAAGUGGAAGUGGGUGCGCAUUCACUCAAUUUUUUUUUUUUGCGAGUGAAAGUGACGGUACGUCAUUCACUCGAUAAUGUUUAAACUUUGUCGAGUAAAAGUGACUGUGUCAGUUACUCGAUGGCUCGAUAUCUUCUCAAGAAUAAUAUCGUCGGAGAUGCAUGGAGUUCCAUGCUCUAGGAACAGCUUGGCCGGUGGACGUCUCGAGUCGGUAGACUCUUGGUUUAGCGACUUGAGCGAUUUUGUACGGGCCUUCCCAGUUAGUCUCGAGCUUGCCGGCGUUCAACCCUUUGGUGUUUUCGAACACUUUGUGUAGUACGAUGUUGCCUAACUCGAGAGGUCGAGAUCUGACUUUCUU
rnacentral:lncRNA from 1 species